rnacentral:guide_RNA from 1 species
UGGGGUUUUCAGCGUAAGUAAGUGAUAUAUUG